UUGAGGAUGAUGAUGAUCUAGAUAUUUCUGGUGGUCUCUAACCUGCUGCAGGAGUUCAGCUUGAGUAUGCCUGGAGAGGAUGCUGGAGUUAUUGCUACACAAUUCAAGAGUGGAACAUCUGUACUCAGGAAUCCCAGGCCAUACCGUGUUGUUAUAAAUAACAAAGUCAGUAACUAGUUCCUGUCAACAGCAUUGUCAGCUUUUAGUUGCUGUCAACAGCAUUGUCAGCUGUUAGUUCCUGUCAACAGCAUUGUCAGCUGUUAGUUCCUGUCAACAGCAUUUUCAUCUGUUAGUUCCUGUCAACAGCAUUGUCAGCUGUUAGUUCCUCUCACAAUUAUUGUCAGCUGUUAGUCACUGUCAACAGCAUUGCCAGAAGUUGGUUACUGUCGACUGCAUUGCCAGUAGUUACUUUCUGUUAACUGUAUUGUCAGCUCAUGAUUCCUGUCAACAACAUUGUCAGUAGUUGCUUACUGUCAGCAGCAUUGCCAGUUGUUAGUUAAUGUCAAUAGCAUUGUCAGCUGUUAGCUGCAGUUAGCAGCUUUACCAGAUUUAGUUGCUGACUACAUUAAUAUCAGUAAUUACUCAGAGCUCAGAGCUGCUAAUGAUAUCAACAGCAGUACUAUCUGCUAAUUGAUGUCAACAGCAGUACGAGCUGUAAUUUGCUGUCAUCAGCACUAUCAACCGUAAUUUGUUGUCAAAGCAGUACCAGCUGUAAUUUGCUGUCAACAGCAAUAUCAGCUGUAAUUUGCUGUCAUCAGCACUGUCAGCUGUAAUUUGUUGUCAAAGCAGUAACAGCUGUAAUUUGCUGUCAACAGCAAAAUCAGCUGUAAUUUGCUGUCAUCAGCACUAUCAGCUAUAUUUGUUGUCAAAGCAGUACCAGCUGUAAUUUGCUGUCAACAGCACUAUCAGCUGUAAUUUGCUGUCAUCAGCUCUAUCAUAAGUUGCAGCAAUAAUGUCAACAUCAAUGGAUCUAUCAGUGACUUUAAAUUAAUAUUAUAUAUUUAUUAUAUUAUUAUAUGUUGUUGCUGUCAAUCUAUCUCUUUUUGUUUAUCUCGGCAUUGUUAAAAAUAAAUGUCAGAAUUGUAUCAACAGAAAUAUAAAAUUUAUCGAACUUCUUUUAA